GAGUGAACGCUGGCGGUAGGCCUAACACAUGCAAGUCGAACGGCAGCACAGAGGAGCUUGCUCCUUGGGUGGCGAGUGGCGGACGGGUGAGGAAUACAUCGGAAUCUACUCUUUCGUGGGGGAUAACGUAGGGAAACUUACGCUAAUACCGCAUACGCCCUUCGGGGGAAAGCAGGGGAUCGCAAGACCUUGCGCGAUUGAAUGAGCCGAUGUCGGAUUAGCUAGUUGGCGGGGUAACGGCCCACCAAGGCGACGAUCCGUAGCUGGUCUGAGAGGAUGAUCAGCCACACUGGAACUGAGACACGGUCCAGACUCCUACGGGAGGCAGCAGUGGGGAAUAUUGGACAAUGGGCGCAAGCCUGAUCCAGCCAUACCGCGUGGGUGAAGAAGGCCUUCGGGUUGUAAAGCCCUUUUGUUGGGAAAGAAAAGCAUUCGGUUAAUACCCGAGUGUUCUGACGGUACCCAAAGAAUAAGCACCGGCUAACUUC
rnacentral:rRNA from 1 species